CUACCCUUGAAUGUACCGAAACCCCCCCAAAAAUGGGCGUGCCCGAAAGGGAACGGUAACACACAGGUGCUGCAUGGCUGUCGUCAGCUCGUGUCGUGAGAUGUUGGGUUAAGUCCCCCACAACGAGCGCAACCCUUGUCAUUAAUUGCCAUCAUUCAGUUGGGCACUUUAAUGAAACUGCCGGUGACAAACCGGAGGAAGGUGGGGGUGACGUCAAGUCCUCAUGGCCCUUAUGGGUAGGGCUUCACACGUAAUACAAUGGCGCGUACAGAGGGUUGCCAACCCGCGAGGGGGAGCCAAUCUCAGAAAGCGCGUCGUAGUCCGGAUCGGAGUCUGCAACUCGACUCCGUGAAGUCGGAAUCGCUAGUAAUCGCGGAUCAGCAUGUCGCGGUGAAUACGUUCCC
rnacentral:rRNA from 1 species